AACAUACCUUGUCGGGAGGAUUUCCCGGUUUUGUAACCGUUCAAUAAUUUUUCUUUGUCGAUCCCUCGGUUUCCCUCCUCGAAGAAUGAAUCCGUUAAACUCCAUUUGAAAGCUCUUGAGAAGUGAUGAAGAAGAUGAAGUGGUUUUUGAAAAGGUUGGAUUUUUACAAAAUCCGACGGAUGAAAUCGAAAAUGGAAAUUGGAAUAAUGAUUUGUGUGGUGUGGUGGUUAGAAA
rnacentral:lncRNA from 1 species